ensembl:lncRNA
CACGCAGAAAAGUCACUGGGUUGUUUGUAACGCUUUCCCUUUUCCAGUGUAUUGUGGGUAAUGCUGCUUUCAGUCCUGCAGCCCUUCGUCUAAGACGGUAUGAAAUCAAAAGGUGAUCAGUGGACGUACAGAAGCCCACGUACCUCCCCGCACGUCUCUUUCUCUGGGGGAAUGUCUACCCUGGCAGGUCUUGGACAUGUCAAACAGCGUUUUGUUCCGUAAGCGGCAUGCUGCAGCGCACCGUUUGCCUGGCGGAGCUGCGGUGUUCAGCUCUGCGCUCUCGUCGUACGGCUGCAGCGAUGCCAACUGAUAGUUGGAUUGGAUGCAGAGAGGGGAGGGAAGACUGUGGAUUCCUGUCACCUGGAGGAGGCAGAACAAUUUUGUUAUGUGAAGGAGAGCUCCAAAGGAGGAAGCUGAGCUGGAGGAUUUACCUGACAAAGGCAGUGGGACUUCAGCGUAAGGACCUAGUGCAGCCCAAGUGAAGGUGAGAGGAGGAAUGGCGGUGUUGCCAUGGAUAUGGGAUUUUUUUUCUCAUGCCCUGCCUUUGCUCUAAGGCCAAACAUUCUUUACACGGGGAAUCUCAGCAAGAGCUGAAUCGUGCAGUUUGAGGUGACUUGUAACUUUUAUUUUGUUGGUAGAACCUGUAUACCAGUGACAGUAUCCUUAGGGGUGAGCUCAGAGCAGUUUGUGGUGGGAGCUCCGGGGACGAGAACAUCUCCGCACUGUAUACUCCUUAAUAUCACUGCGAUCCCCACCAGCAUAGUGUACAUCUCAAAUAUCAAAGACCUUUCAUGAUUUCUGAUUAACUUUGAUCAGUUUAGAAUAAUCCGAUGGAUUUCAAUUGAGCUCCUUUAGUUCUCUACUCUCCUCAGCUCUGUAUGGCUUAUUAAUAGACAUACCUGGCAUCCACGGGUCCCAAGGUAACUGAUACCUCCUAUCCUUAAACAGUCAGUAAUGUUGGUGAUACUACUAUUAUUUUGGGGACACAGAGAGGGAGGGAAGUCUUGUAACAGAAAUAUGCUUUUUUAGCCUAACACACUGGAUUUAAAUGUGGUCCCAAUGAAUGGCUGUAUCACAGCUUGCAGCACAGCUUCAUUCUUUGAAGACAGAAUUCUUAGAAGCUACCAACUAGUUACCAACAGCCGAUAAAGACUAAUACUGAAAAAGCAUUUUCAUUUCCUCGUUUUCUUCUGUAAAAUGACGGUGAUGCUGGGGGAGGGAGGGGAACUGAAUUCAACAAAAAGCUGAAUUUUGAUCUUCUCCUUUUGCAUUCCCUUUACCGGAGGGGCUGUAUCCUCCAGCCUUCCUCAUUUCACAAAUCCCAGAGAGCAGGAACCUGAUAUUGAAUCUGAGAAAAGAUAGUAGCUUUGGCCCAGUGUUUAUUUUGCUAUAAUGUUCUACAGGAAUGGCUACAGGGUACCUACUCAAGAAAUGUGAAAAGUAGAUUUAAUUUUAAUUACAUCAAUUUAUGUUCAUUAAAAA